rnacentral:lncRNA from 1 species
UGCAUAUCCAUCGCCCCAGGGGACCUUAGGGCUGUGGCUGUCCAUAAAAACAGGCUUUCCAUCUUCACGCUGGGGCGGCAGGUAGCCUGGUGGUCAGCGCGUUGGACUUGUAACUGAAAGGUUGCAAGAUCAAGAUUUUGGGACCGUUUCUACAGUGAACUGUAAAUAGAGUCAAACAGAUUUAUUCUCAGGUCCCCACAAGGAGAGUAUGUACAUUAUGUAUCAAUAGACCUGUUUGGACUGACACUCUUAUUCAACCAAAUCACACAGCAUACAUUUAAACACACUUAAGAACUUGGAUACACACAAUGCAUAUUCCAUCGCAGAGAUACACCAAUGCAAGUAUCUAUGGUGACUAUUGUGCCUACUACUAUGUUUAGAUAGAUAUUCAUAAUUGUACUCUAUUUUCUAGGUGAUGUGUAUGACCACAAUUCAAUAUGCCAAUAAGAGCAAAUGGGAGCUUUUUAAACCACUUAAACAAAACAUCAUUAGCUUUAUAUUGAGAGGGCUCAAUUUAAGUUUAAUGUUAUCUUAUUCAGAG